UGAGACAGACAGCGUGGUAUGCAGCAUCACAGGCUGGAAGUGUUUGGUUUGAUGAAAUCAGGAAGUUGACGUUUUUCCUUUGCGAUCCGUGCUUGUGAGUGUUCCUUGGGCUAUUUUGUCUUGAGUUAAACUUUCACUUGUGGAUGUAUCGAAGUGUAGCCUGUUCAAUGCUUUAGAAGCGCAAAAUCAGUACCAUUCGACAGUGCAUGAACACUGCGGACAAUGCGCCCAUCUCUGACCAGUGUCUUCCACCACACCAGUGACUCAGACUGGGACCAGUCCCACUGACCACCACCUCCCUGUACUGGUGCCAGUUCAGUCCUGCCCUGCUGUGGAGGAGGAGACAUGUCCUACUGGUCAGUAGGCCUCUCCAAGGCCACUGGAGACACACAGAGCAACAACAUGGAGGAACAAGACAAACAAGAUCUUGAACAAGAUGUAGUUACUGUCUUGUCUCAUCGCUGUACGGACUCGGGAGAGGUGAAGGUCAAGAGUCCUCGGAAACACAACCCAACCCAGCCACACUGCUUCUUAACACAACGCA
rnacentral:lncRNA from 1 species